rnacentral:rRNA from 1 species
UACGGAGGGGGCGAGCGUUGUCCGAAGUUACUGGGCGUAAAGAGCGUGUAGGCGGUCCGGUAAGUCAGCUGUGAAAGUCAAGGGCUCAACCCUUGAAUGCCGGUUGAUACUGUCGGGCUAGAGUCCGGAAGAGGCGAGUGGAAUUCCCGGUGUAGCGGUGAAAUGCGCAGAUAUCGGGAGGAACACCAAUGGCGAAGGCAGCUCGCUGGGACGGUACUGACGCUGAGACGCGAAAGCGUGGGGAGCAAACAGG